GACUAGGAUAGUGAUCAUUCAACUUGUAUUAACGUGAGAAUCACUUGGAUUAGAGCUUAGAAGCACAGGAAUGACGAUUAGAAUUCUAGAACGAAAAUACGAGGUAUUAAACUUGCCUUGGUUGAAAGAUAGGGGUUAUGAAAGGAUCAUAGGCCAUUGUUGAUAUUAGUCCACUUUUAUUCUAAAUUACCUACCCUUUGUGCAUGAUAUCUCCCUUGAUACCUACUUUGAGCCUAAAUGUUUUUUUCUUUUACGACACCUAUCACCUUCCCAUUUA
rnacentral:lncRNA from 1 species